rnacentral:lncRNA from 1 species
ACUACCUCAACACUAGGAACAUCAUACCUUGCAUCAACAUUACUCUUCAUUACAUAGCUAAACAUAAAUAUCAACUUAGAGAGGCGAAUUAUUCAAAGAUGAUAGGCCCGAAUCUAUAAGGUGAUAAUCACCAUCCACCCAUGUACCUGUUCGAUUUCAUUAGGUGCCUUUACUGUUGAACCCCUUACACAUUAUAACUUUCAAUUUCUAAACUCUACUACCAACAUUUUCCUUGAGCACUUAGAACGAGGUUGCAAAUACUCCACUUGAUGCCAUAUUAUGGUUGCAAACACUCCAAAACUAUUUCUAGAUAUUUUGCCUAACCCAGCUUGCAACCUACGAUCUUGCUAGUUGUACUGGCCUAAUCCGUGAAUCCUACAAGAUUUUCAACCAAUCCUAUAGGAAAAUCUAAACAAGCCCUAAGUGAAUUAGAAUUCCUAAACCUAACGAUCAGAAAGCAAUAUCUUUCCCAAUGAAAGGAACUCGAUUCUAUCAUUGACUGUGUCUAUCAAACUACGUUCAUGAUAAUCAUAGGACAGCAUACCCCAUUAGCAAUCCUUGGAAAGGUCCAUAAUGAUGUUGCAUCAAGACACAUGGAAAGUUUCUUGAGAGGAUGCUUAUAAGCAUGCCACACAAAAAGAUAAGAACAUUGGGAUGAAUCUUCUCCAAUGAUUCCUCAACCAGGUCCCUUUCAUUGCAAUCUUCAUUUAAGUCUUAAAGAUCCAAAAUAUUAUAACCAAUAUUAUCAUGAAUCAAGGAUAUCUAAAUAUUGUACCAUUCAUCAAUCUAUCCUCAUGAGUAUUAUCUCCCAUAAAUAGGCUGCUUAUGAAGUGUUCAUGAGUUUAUCUUUUAAAUAUAUGUAUCUUAGAUACAAGCACAAUUUAAAAAGGGGAAAAAUGUCCUUACCUUCUCACUACCUCAACACUAGGAACAUCAUACCUUGCAUCAACAUUACUCUUCAUUACAUAGCUAAACAUAAAUAUCAACUUAGAGAGGCAAAUUAUUCAAAGAUGAUAGGCCCGAAUCUAUAAGGUGAUAAUCACCAUCCACCCAUGUACCUGUUCAAUCUCAUUAGGUGCCUUUACUGUUGAACCCCUUACACAUUAUAACUUUCAAUUUCUAAACUCUACUACCAACAUUUUCCUCGAACACUUAGAACGAGGUUGCAAAGACUCCACUUCAUGCCAUAUUAUGGUUGCAAACACUCCAAAACUAUUUCUGGAUAUUUUGCCUAACCCAGCUUGCAACCUACGAUCUUGCUAGUUGUACUGGCCCAAUCCGUGAAUCCUACAAGAUUUUCAACCAAUCCUAUAGAAAAAUCUAAACAAGCCCUAAGUGAAUUAGAAUUCCUAAACCUAACGAUCAGAAAGCAAUAUCCUUCCCAAUGAAAGGAACUCGAUUCUAUCAUUGACUGUGUCUAUCAAACUACGUUCAUGAUAAUCAUAGGACAGCAUACCCCAUGAGCAAUCCUUGGAAAGGUCCAUAAUGAUGUAGCAUCAAGACACAUGAAAAGUUUCUUGAGAGGAUGCUUAUAAGCAUGCCACACAAAAGAUAAGAACAUCGAGAUGAAUCUUCUCCAAUGAUUCCUCAACCAG